GCUGGAGUAGCUUAGUUGGUUAUAGCGUGUGGCUGUUAACCACAAGUUAGAAGGUUCAACUCCUUCUUCUAGCG